UUUAGGUUAACAGCUGUUGGAAAAAGGCAAUUAUACAAAAAUCUAAUUUAAUACAUUAAAUCUAAAUUAUUACAUAAAGUCAUAUUAAUUUAUUAUUACUAUUAUUUAUAAUAUCGUUAAAACAUAACUUGGCAAUUAUACUAAAAUCUCAAUUGUAAUUUGUAUGUAACUCCACACAGACUCCUUCAUGAGGAGUCUCCUUCUAUCUUUUGAUGCCGGUCGUUUAACAUCCAAUUCAGGAAUUGAAGAAUCUUCAUACCUUUACCAGACAUUUCUUCAUAUUUUAAAAAAUCCUUUCGACCACUGCUGCUCUGCACACUGACUCCUUCACCCGGAAUCUUUCCAGAAACAUUUUAGCAGAUCUUCUCAAUCCAACUAUUACCACCCUGAAGCUCUAACAUGUGAAUGACUUGCAAGUGGUUUUUUUAAUAACUGCCUAUAAUUAUGCAUGAUUAACAACUCUAAUAAACUCAAUAACGUGACUAACCUCACUUACUUUAUCAGUUAUUUAUUAUAAAUACCACUUGUUGAGUUUUACUAUGAAGGUCUUACUGAGGUUGCUGGGAAGACGGCACUGAAUGAUUUAUCAGGUAAACGACAACUUGAAGCCAAGUGGUCUUCUACUCUCAAGUUGCUCAUGAGUGAACAAUGAACUACUACUGAUUAUGCUGUCCGUCCGUCUUAUCACCAGAGAAGAUGCCUACUGUGAUAUAUUGAAUAGUUAAGAGC